GUGGCAGUACUCAAGAGGCUGAAGAGGUCGCCCUGCUAAGGCGAUAGGGGAGGCAACUCCCGCGGAGGUUCAAAUCCUCUCUGCCACGCCA
rnacentral:tRNA from 1 species